AAAACUUUGAAUUUUUGAAAUACUAAGGCUUUUCUACUUCAUGAAUAGAUUACCUUAGCUGUAUUGGUAAAAUGUUUAGGAAUUUUCGGUCAUCAAUGCUCUUCAACUUCGUACUUGUUUUGGCCUUUUUAACAUUUUUUGAUUCGAGCGUCAAUGAUGAGUCUUUUGUAGACGAAACGCGCGUCUGGCGUAUAUAUAAAAUUUUAAUCCUGGUAUCUAUGAUGAGUUUAGAAUUCUAUUCAUUGUCUUUGUUAUGUCGUUGUUUUCUUCUUAUAGUGAUGUCUUUCUCAC
rnacentral:lncRNA from 1 species